CAGUCGCCGCGGGAAUACGUAGGGUGCGAGCGUUAAUCGGAAUUACUGGGCGUAAAGCGUGCGCAGGCGGUUGUGUAAGACAGGUGUGAAAUCCCCGGGCUUAACCCGGGAACUGCAUUUGAAACUGGCAGGCUAGAGUCUCGUAGAGGGGGGUAGAAUUCCAGGUGUAGCGGUGAAAUGCGUAGAGAUCUGGAGGAAUACCGGUGGCGAAGGCGGCCCCCUGGACGAAGACUGACGCUCAGGUACGAAAGCGUGGGGAGCAAACAGGAUUAGAUACCCGCGUAGUCCCUGUCUCUUAUAC
rnacentral:rRNA from 1 species